rnacentral:rRNA from 1 species
GGUAAUGCCGGAUGCUCCAGUUGAUCGCAUGGUCUUCUGGGAAAGCUUUCGCGGUAUGGGAUGGGGUCGCGUCCUAUCAGCUUGACGGCGGGGUAACGGCCCACCGUGGCUUCGACGGGUAGCCGGCCUGAGAGGGCGACCGGCCACAUUGGGACUGAGAUACGGCCCAGACUCCUACGGGAGGCAGCAGUGGGGAAUAUUGCACAAUGGGCGCAAGCCUGAUGCAGCGACGCCGCGUGAGGGAUGGAGGCCUUCGGGUUGUAAACCUCUUUUAUCGGGGAGCAAGCGAGAGUGAGUUUACCCGUUGAAUAAGCACCGGCUAACUACGUGCCAGCAGCCGCGGUAAUACGUAGGGUGCAAGCGUUAUCCGGAAUUAUUGGGCGUAAAGGGCUCGUAGGCGGUUCGUCGCGUCCGGUGUGAAAGUCCAUCGCUUAACGGUGGAUCCGCGCCGGGUACGGGCGGGCUUGAGUGCGGUAGGGGAGACUGGAAUUCCCGGUGUAACGGUGGAAUGUGUAGAUAUCGGAAAAGAA